UUUCAGUUUCCCGUUAUGAAAUAAGAGAACUUAUGUGMAGCCAUGGAUCCUUUGUUCUGCCAUGAUUCUUUGUUUAACUGUUGGGAAGAUCAAGGAAGACACYRRCGCUCUGAUCCUUCUUUGUUUUGGACAGUCUGUUAUGCAUAUGGAUGGCCAUAUAUGUGUUUAGGCCUAUUAAAGGGGAAUUUACAUUACAUUUAAUUAGGAUUGAUCCAAAAUGGAUGUUUAAAGCCCCAACAUUACCUCCAAAAAUCUCAUCAGGACCAAUGCAUUGGAGAUGGUGGUCAAGAAAAUCUUGUGUCAAAGUGAUGCAGCAGAGUUUCUUGUUGCUUUUGCUGGAAUUCAAGAAAGUGUACACCAGUUUUCCAAAGACUAUAAAUUGAGGAAAGGCCCAGUUUCUGUAUCAUUGAGUUCAAGUUCAGAGAUUGUGGGGGUUGAUAGCAGCCAUUCAAUAAGUAACGGAGUUGAGAGAUAAGUUGUCAAGGGUAGAAGAGGAACUCGAGACCGAAUGGAAGAAGAGGGCAGAUUUGGAGGCCAGACAAGCUGCCUCGGCAGCUGAACAGGCCAGACAAGUAGUUGUCAGGAUACGUUUUCCCACCUCCCCCAAAUCCCAAUAGUUAGAUUGUAUGUAUUCGAAGAUUAAAUUAUAUGAAUUGAAUAU